GACGAACGCUGGCGGCGUGCCUAACACAUGCAAGUCGAACGGACAGGCCCUGCUCUUGUUCCUCUCUCGAUUGCCGCACACGUGUGUAACACGCGUGUAUCCUCCCCUUGUCUUUGUGAUAACUCCAGGAAACUGGGGCUCUUACCGCAUAUGAGCUCCUGCUCCAUGUUGUUCUUUGGAAAAAUUCGGCUGUUGUGGCUGUACUCGCGGCUUAUCAGCUUGUUGGGGUGGUAGGUGCUGACCAAGCCUUUGACGGGUAGCCGGCCUGAGAGGGUUACCGGCGACAUUGGGACUGAGAUACGGCGCAGACGCCAACGGGAGGCAGCAGUGGGGAAUAUGGCACAACGGGCGGAAGCCUGAUGCAGCAACGCCGCGUGCGGGAUGACGGCCUUCGGGUGGUAAACCGCUGUGGCAGGUGACGAAGCGUGAGUGACGGUAAUGGGUAAAGAAGCACCGGCUAACUACGUG
rnacentral:rRNA from 1 species